CAACUACUCCCUCUGUCCCAAAUUUCUUGUCUUAGAUUUGUCUAGAUAAGGAUGUAUCUAAUACUAAAAUGUGACUUGAUACAUCCGUAUCUAGACAAAUCUAAGACAAGAAUUUUGGGAUGGAGGGAGUACUUU
rnacentral:pre_miRNA from 1 species